GACGGGUGAGUAACUUCUGGGAAUCUAGAAUUUUCUACGGAACAACUGAGGGAAACUUCAGCUAAUACCGUUUACCCCCGAGAGGAGAAAGAUUUAUCGGAGAAGGAUGAGCCCGCGUUGGAUUAGCUAGUUGGUGGGGUAAAGGCCUACCAAGGCGACGAUCCAUAGCUGGUCUGAGAGGAUGAUCAGCCACACUGGGACUGAGACACGGCCCAGACUCCUACGGGAGGCAGCAGUGGG
rnacentral:rRNA from 1 species